rnacentral:rRNA from 1 species
AUUGAACGCUGGCGGCAUGCCUAAUACAUGCAAGUCGAACGAGUGGCGGAUGGGUGAGUAAUGUCUGGGCAACUGCCCGAUGGAGGGGGAUAACUACUGGCAACGGUUGCUAAUACCGCCUACCAUUGGAUCUGCCUAGAUGGAUUUAGCUAGUAGGUGGGGUAACGGCUCACCCAGGCGAAGAUCCCUAGCUGGUCUGAGAGGAUGAUCGGCCACACUGGAACUGAGACACGGUCCAGACUCCUACGGGAGGCAGCAGUGGGGAAUAUUGCACAAUGGGCGAAAGCCUGAUGCAGCCAUGCCGCGUGUAUGAAGAAGGCUUUCGGGUUGUAAAGUACUUUUAGCGAGGAGGCGUUACCCGCAGAGAAAGCACCGGCUAACUCCGUGCCAGCAGCCGCGGUAAUUC